rnacentral:rRNA from 1 species
GAUGAACGCUAGCGGCAGGCCUAAUACAUGCAAGUCGAACGAUAGUGAGAAGCUUGCUUCUCACGAAAGUGGCGCACGGGUGCGUAACGCGUAUGCAACCUACCUUAAUCAGGGGGAUAGCCCGAAGAAAUUCGGAUUAACACCGCAUAAAAUCACAGUAUAGCCUUAUACAAUGAUCAAAUAUUUAUAGGAUUAAGAUGGGCAUGCGUGACAUUAGUUAGUUGGCGGGGUAACGGCCCACCAAGACCACGAUGGCUAGGGGAUCUGAGAGGAUGACCCCCCACACUGGUACUGAGACACGGACCAGACUCCUACGGGAGGCAGCAGUAAGGAAUAUUGGUCAAUGGAGGCAACUCUGAACCAGCCAUGCCGCGUGCAGGAAGACAGCCCUCUGGGUCGUAAACUGCUUUUAUUCGGGAAUAAACCUAUCUACGUGUAGAUAGCUGAAUGUACCGAAGGAAUAAGGAUCGGCUAACUCCGUGCCAGCAGCCGCCGUAA